rnacentral:tRNA from 1 species
GGUUUUAUAUUCAAUAAUGAUAAUAGAAUGCAAUUCUAUAGGAAUAAUAAUAUUAUUAAGACUU